rnacentral:lncRNA from 1 species
CAAUUCUCUGGGUUACACGGUUGGUCAUCCUCAGGAGGCUCUCAUCAUCAGGAAUGACUGCCCGGAGAUCCAAGCAAGGUCUGUCAGCCCUUUGGGGUACUCCAGGAACUGGAGAAAGGUCCAUUGCUCCACCAACGGGCUCAGGGGGUGAAGUCAGUGUAUUCAUCUUGCAAGCUGGGAAAAAACCUCUUCCAGUCUUGCCUCAGAGAAAACUACCACAGGCAACUUUCUGCCCCCGACCACCCACCCCACAACUUACACCUUCUGGUACCUCUGAAAACAAAGCUCAAAAGGAGGGAGUUCAGCAUCAUGUUGAGAAGCUAAAGAGAGAAAGAGCUACGAAGGGGCAGCACAGAGAUAAGCAACUCUUGAAAUCAACAACUCUGGGCCAUGCCGCAGACACGGAGGAAUGCCAGCUCCAGAGGGAUGAGGAUGUACCAGUGGGAAUUCAGGAGAGGACUCGGGCUCCGGCCAAUAGGAAGGUGAGAUUUAUGGAAAAGUCACCCGUGCCGAAGGAGGAAUGUCUUCCAAAGAAGGAAAGGAGCCUUUCACAGAAAAAAGAGGGAAGUUACCCACAAAAGAAGUGUUUCCCACAGAAGGAAAAGUGUUUCCUCCCAAAGAAGGAAGAGUGUGAUACAUCAAAAAACAAAGACUAUCUUUCUAGGAAAAAUGAAAGGAAUCUCCCAGAGAAGGAAAAGUAUCCUUUAUCUGUGCCCAUUCAGUCCAGAGGAUGUCAGUCUCUAUUACCACAUCAACCCAAUCUUUUGCCUACUCUGGUUCAGUUCCAGUCUUCGAUUCAGAGAAAUAAGAGACCAUCAAGGGGAGCCCCACCUCACCAGGCCUAUAGAGACAGAAAGACUAGCGCUCUAGAAGCCGGUCUGAUGGGAAAAUACUAGUAAAUUGGAAGAAAAAAAUAUUUUAUUGAACCAUGAGUAGCCCUCAGAAACCCAAGGAAGAAGUGUGAAAAUCUCUACCAGGUCAAAGGAAAUCAAGUCAAAGAUGAGAGAGAUUACCCCAGGGGAUCAGUAUUAAUGUAAAUACCCAGCCUGGUGUUUAAUAGAUAUCUUUUGAAUACUCUUGGGCUAAAUGUAUUUAUUUUUCCUCAAACAUUAGUGCAGGCAGGAAUCAUAGAACACAGAAUGCUAGAUCUGAAAGGGGCAUUAGGACAUAAAAUGUUAGACCACAGAACACAGUCCAAUAAUCUAGAAGGGACCUUUGUUUACAAACCACUGCAAUAUUAGAUUUAAACACUGGAAGAGACAGACAAUAAGAACUCAG